ACGGAGGCAGCAGUGGGGAAUAUUGGACAAUGGGGGAAACCCUGAUCCAGCGACGCCGCGUGAGUGAGGAAGUAUUUCGGUAUGUAAAGCUCUAUCAGCAAGGAAGAAAAUGACGGUACUUGACUAAGAAGCUCCGGCUAAAUACGUGCCAGCAGCCGCGGUAAUACGUAUGGAGCAAGCGUUAUCCGGAUUUACUGGGUGUAAAGGGAGCGUAGACGGCAAAGCAAGUCUGAAGUGAAAUGCAUGGGCUCAACCCAUGAACUGCUUUGGAAACUGUCAAACUAGAGUGCAGGAGGGGUAAGUGGAAUUCCUAGUGUAGCGGUGAAAUGCGUAGAUAUUAGGAGGAACACCAGUGGCGAAGGCGGCUUACUGGACUGUAACUGACGUUGAGGCUCGAAAGCGUGGGGAGCAAACAGGAUUAGAUACCCUGGUA
rnacentral:rRNA from 1 species